AAUGUUGCUAUAAAAUAAUAUCACCAGAGCUGAAUGAAUGGCAGAAGAAUGCAACAACUGAGGAAAUGUUUCUCGCCUCAUACGGGAUGGAGAAGUUUUCUAAAUUCAAUUAUUGAUCUAAUUAAAUAUUGUGCUUCGAUUAUAAAAUAUUCAUUGAGAAUGAAAGCUAUAAUGUUUCAGAAUUUUUGUUUGUUCGAUAAUGUUUUAAUGAUGUUUUGUAUUUAUGCAGGCUAAUCAACUUGCUUUCGUCGUAAGCGUGGCGGCAGUCACGCUGUCGCAGAAACAAUUUUCUUCCUCCCAAUUUUUCCAUUCCGCUUGGUUAAAAACCUGGAAUGCAUGUACAAUUGCCUAUUGAUAUACCAUUUAAGCCUCCACCUAGGAGAGACCUAGGGAUCCUGUGGCAUUGCUUCCUAUUGACUCACUUCCUCUUAUUAACUUACUUUUAGUAGCAAGAUUCGAGGAACCAAAAAUACCCCCUCACAUUCCUCAGCCCAAGAAUCAAGAACUUUUUCUAAACAUCAUAUGGCUAGGCUCGCUGAGCUAUCUGUGCGAACAACAAACAAAGCAUACAAUCCAUUGAUUCUUAUUGAUACAAUGACUGGACUUAAAAGCUACGAAAAUUCAAGAAGUACUAAUGAUAUACUAAUCAUCUCCCCAUGCAUCUUCUUUCAAUUUUUUACUGUUAUGGACCACACUUACACUUUGUACUCCAAACAAAAACUUGUGCUCCUAAUGAUGCAGCAGACACAAUGCUUUGAGAAAGCGAUUUGAAGAGCUUGUAUAUGAACUUAAAAACGACCAAACUGAGAGUUUGUUUUGACGUUUCAGAGUUGUGGCUCAGCAAAAUAAGAGGAUUACUGAUGCUGAUCUCAGAGCAUUGGUAUCGGAUGAGUUUUUUUAGGCGGAGUCUAUCUGGAAGCUUGAUGAUAUGCAUGUUGGAGUUCAAGGGCUGUAAAUUCUGAAGCCUCAUAUCCAAAAAAAGUUCCUUCAUCAGUGGUAAUUGGCAACGGGGUUAAGGAACUUAUUGACGCAGUUGGAGGGGUUGGUCUUGAAGCUUGCAUAAUAUCAUGUAAGGAGAAUGUUGAUGAAGAAAUGACUAACUGUGAAAGCUCUGCUAAUGAAACACUAAGCGGUCUGAAGUUUUCUUAGUGAGCCAAGCUCAUUCAAAACAAUGUCAUGAUUUUUUUUAUUUGACUCUUUUUCCGACAGGUUGUUGUACAAGCUGUGCUAUUCGUGUAAAUAUUGAGAAGAUUAGACAGCCAGAGGCACUUGGGUUAUCUGCCGAAUUGAGAGAGCAGACAUGUGCAACUAUGUCUACAAAUAUUUUUGAUUGAAUUGGUCAUUUUGAUUUGUUUAGUAGGAAUGCAUGAUGAUUUGGUGGAAUUUCUUCGACGAUGCCAAAAGAGAGAAUCAGAUUUCUAUUUUACUCUAUUUUUUUCCUUCUAAAUUUGAAAAGUAAAAGAAGACAAUGAGGGUGAUAAACAAUAUACUUUAUGCAUGUUAC